CCUGGCGGCGUGCUUACCAUGCAGUCGAACGGUAAGGCCCUUCGGGGUACACGAGUGGCGAACGGGUGAGUAACACGUGGGUGAUCUGCCCUGCACUUUGGGAUAAGCCUGGGAAACUGGGUCUAAUACCGAAUAUGACCUUGGGAUGCAUGUCCUUUGGUGGAAAGCUUUUGCGGUGUGGGAUGGGCCCGCGGCCUAUCAGCUUGUUGGUGGGGUGAUGGCCUACCAAGGCGACGACGGGUAGCCGGCCUGAGAGGGUGACCGGCCACACUGGGACUGAGAUACGGCCCAGACUCCUACGGGAGGCAGCAGUGGGGAAUAUUGCACAAUGGGCGCAAGCCUGAUGCAGCGACGCCGCGUGAGGGACGACGGCCUUCGGGUUGUAAACCUCUUUCAGCACAGACGAAGCGCAAGUGACGGUAUGUGCAGAAGAAGGACCGGCCAACUACGUGCCAGCAGCCGCGGUAAUACGUAGGGUCCGAGCGUUGUCCGGAAUUACUGGGCGUAAAGAGCUCGUAGGUGGUUUGUCGCGUUGUUCGUGAAAACUCACAGCUCAACUGUGGGCGUGCGGGCGAUACGGGCAGACUGGAGUACUGCAGGGGAGACUGGAAUUCCUGGUGUAGCGGUGGAAUGCGCAGAUAUCAGGAGGAACACCGGUGGCGAAGGCGGGUCUCUGGGCAGUAACUGACGCUGAGGAGCGAAAGCGUGGGGAGCGAACAGGAUUAGAUACCCUGGUAGUCCACGCCGUAAACGGUGGGUACUAGGUGUGGGUUUCCUUCCUUGGGAUCCGUGCCGUAGCUAACGCAUUAAGUACCCCGCCUGGGGAGUACGGCCGCAAGGCUAAAACUCAAAGAAAUUGACGGGGGCCCGCACAAGCGGCGGAGCAUGUGGAUUAAUUCGAUGCAACGCGAAGAACCUUACCUGGGUUUGACAUGCACAGGACGCCGGCAGAGAUGUCGGUUCCCUUGUGGCCUGUGUGCAGGUGGUGCAUGGCUGUCGUCAGCUCGUGUCGUGAGAUGUUGGGUUAAGUCCCGCAACGAGCGCAACCCUCGUCCUAUGUUGCCAGCACGUCAUGGUGGGGACUCGUAGGAGACUGCCGGGGUCAACUCGGAGGAAGGUGGGGAUGACGUCAAGUCAUCAUGCCCCUUAUGUCCAGGGCUUCACACAUGCUACAAUGGCCGGUACAAAGGGCUGCGAUGCCGUGAGGUGGAGCGAAUCCUUUCAAAGCCGGUCUCAGUUCGGAUCGGGGUCUGCAACUCGACCCCGUGAAGUCGGAGUCGCUAGUAAUCGCAGAUCAGCAACGCUGCGGUGAAUACGUUCCCGGGCCUUGUACACACCGCCCGUCACGUCAUGAAAGUCGGUAACACCCGAAGCCGGUGGCCUAACCCCUCGUGGGAGGGAGCCGUCGAAGGUGAUUCC
rnacentral:rRNA from 1 species